GACGAACGCUGGCGGCGUGCCUAAUACAUGCAAGUUGAGCGCUGAAGGUUGGUACUUGUACCAACUGGAUGAGCAGCGAACGGGUGAGUAACGCGUGGGGAAUCUGCCUUUGAGCGGGGGACAACAUUUGGAAACGAAUGCUAAUACCGCAUAAAAACUUUAAACACAAGUUUUAAGUUUGAAAGAUGCAAUUGCAUCACUCAAAGAUGAUCCCGCGUUGUAUUAGCUAGUUGGUGAGGUAAAGGCUCACCAAGGCGAUGAUACAUAGCCGACCUGAGAGGGUGAUCGGCCACAUUGGGACGGAGGCACGGCCCAAACUCCUACGGGAGGCAGCAGUAGGGAAUCUUCGGCAAUGGACGAAAGUCUGACCGAGCAACGCCGCGUGAGUGAAGAAGGUUUUCGGAUCGUAAAACUCUGUUGGUAGAGAAGAACGUUGGUGAGAGUGGAAAGCUCAUCAAGUGACGGUAACUACCCAGAAAGGGACGGCUAACUACGUG
rnacentral:rRNA from 1 species